UGAUGAUGAUGAUGAUGAUGAUGAUGGUGAUGAUGAUGAUGAUGAUGAAGCUGAGGAAGAGGAGAAUAAAAAUGUAGCCGAUGAAGUGAAGUAGCUUUGACAAGCUCCUAAUCAGAAGAGUAAUUACGAACGUGCAGUGAAUACGCGACAGCCUGUCUUAUCACCACCACCAUCAUCAUCUUCAUCAUCAUCAUCAUCGUCAUCAUCAUCAUUAUCA
rnacentral:pre_miRNA from 1 species